UAAGGAAUAUUGGUCAAUGGACGCAAGUCUGAACCAGCCAUGCCGCGUGAAGGAUGAAGGUCCUCUGGAUUGUAAACUUCUUUUAUCUGGGACGAAAACGGGAUUUUUAUCUCAAUUGACGGUACCAGAGGAAUAAGCACCGGCUAACUCCGUGCCAGCAGCCGCGGUAAUACGGAGGGUGCGAGUGUUAUCCGGAUUUACUGGGUUUAAAGGGUGCGUAGGCGGGCUUAUAAGUCAGUGGUGAAAUCUCCGAGCUUAACUUGGAAACUGCCGUUGAUACUAUAGGUCUUGAAUUAUCUGGAGNUAAGCGGAAUAUGUCAUGUAGCGGUGAAAUGCUUAGAUAUGACAUAGAACACCAAUUGCGAAGGCAGCUUACUACAUAUAAAUUGACGCUGAGGCACGAAAGCGUGGGGAUCAAAC
rnacentral:rRNA from 1 species